GAUAAACGCUAGCGGCAGGCUUAACACAUGCAAGUCGAGGGGCAGCAUAGAUUGUAGCAAUACAAUUGGUGGCGACCGGCGCACGGGUGCGUAACGCGUAUGCAACCUACCCGUCACAGGGGGAUAAUCCGGAGAAAUCUGGUCUAAUACCCCAUAACAUAUGGAUCGGCAUCGGUUCAUGUUGAAAUUUUCGGAGGUGACGGAUGGGCAUGCGGAGCAUUAGCUUGGUGGUGAGGUAACGGCUCACCAAGGCGACGAUGCUUAGGGGGACUGAGAGGUUUUCCCCCCACACUGGUACUGAGACACGGACCAGACUCCUACGGGAGGCAGCAGUGAGGAAUAUUGGUCAAUGGGCGCAAGCCUGAACCAGCCAUGCCGCGUGCAGGAUGACGGCUCUAUGAGUUGUAAACUGCUUUUGUACGAGGGUAAAGUGGGUUACGUGUAACCUUUUGAAAGUAUCGUACGAAUAAGGAUCGGCUAACUCCGUGCCAGCAGCCGCCGUAA
rnacentral:rRNA from 1 species